UUCCAGCAUCAAGAGUCGGGCCGGCGCCCGACACCAACCUGCUCCCCAGCAAGGUGGUGCCUCCAGUGGAGGGAUGUGGCCGAACCGGCAACAAUCGGGACCCAG
rnacentral:ncRNA from 2 species